ACUACGGACGUGAGUUGGCAUGUAUGUCUGCCUGGAAAAAAAAAAAAAAGGAGUCCCGGUGCUUUGUCCUCCACGUCUCUCUGCGUCCCGUCACUGCCACGCAGAAAGAGGGCUGCACGUGGCGCAGCACGUCUGUCAGAUGCUGGAAACCACGCGAGGAUACGGAGAUCCAACUCCAACCGUGGGGACUCACGGUGGUCCGGGAAUACUGUGCCGCUGUUGCGCUGCUGUACGGGCCGUGCAAGAACAUGGUGCAACUGCGGCCGCUUUGAGUGCGUGUUUGGGAGAGAGAGAGAGAGAGCGAGAGCGAGAGCGAGAGCGAGAGAGAGAGAGAGAGAGAGAGCGAGAGAGAGAGAGAGAGAGAGAGAGAGGAGGGGACCAGCGACCCGGCAGCCUCCUCUAUUCUGUCAUCCAAGGGUAGUGAGGAGAUGCUGAGACAGUGAAGUGGUGGCUGCAUGUUUAUUUUCUCUCGUUUUUAAACUUUUUUUUUUUUUUUCUGCAUGGGAUCCACUUGUACCGCCUUGAAGACGCGUGUCACUGGGGUUUCCCCCCCUGGACUUUUGGGUCUUUGGUAAUGUAAGGUUUACUCCUGACUGAGAGAUCCACCCGUAGAAACGUGCCUUAAAAUUCUGGAAGGACUUCAACCGGAGAUGCGGGAUUUUUUCGCUUUUUAUGGCUUGAGUAAGUGAAGUCCUACGGAAAUACUUCCACCUCAUCCGUAGGCCUGCAAGCGACAGACAGCCGACCUUCUGGCCUGAGGAGCAGAGGUCAGCGGCGGGGUCAGGUCAUCGCGCUGACGUCAGAGCUUGAGAAGAAGAGGAGGAGGCGGUGGAGGAGGGAAAAGAGAAGCAGAGUGGGUGGAAGCAUGGAAGAAGAGGAGGAUGGAAGCAGUUUGAGGAGGUUGUUCGAAGCGGGUGAACCCAGAGCAGGUGAACGCAGCUGCGGAUCGCCAUGGGCUUUCUGUCUACUUCCUCUUGUGGGCCAAGUUGCUCUGUACUGGGGUUCCGAAGACCCAACAGGGGCCAGCCAAAAGCUGCAGCGAAGUGGGCAGGCUAGGCCAGGAAAGAGGCAGGUGAGCCGGGUGAGCCGAGCUCUCGUUCCCGCCGGCUAGGAGUCUCCUCAGCAGAGCAGAGCAGAGCGGAGCAGCAGAAAUCAAUACCGAGGAGAGAGGCGAGCAGAGGUUGCCCAACACCGCCUGCAGGCCUCAGAGCCCAGGGACCAACCACCACCACCACCACUACUCCCAGCUCCUAUCUACCAAUUCUCCUUCUGUCUCUCUCCUGGAGUUCCAGUACUGGCCAGGGCCAGGGCCCUCACCUCACAGCUGCCCUAAUCACAGUGUGUUUGCCAGAACAUGCACACUUGUGCGCAGGAAAGUAAAAUGAAAAGAGACAGAAACUAUCCUUGUGUGUGGUUCAGCUGGAGGUUUUCCAACUCUGCUUGAUAAAACUUUGCCAAAGACACACAAGGAAAUGGUUGAAGAGCGAGCCAUGACGUCGAGGUCCCUUUCCUUCUGGCUCCCACGCUCCAAUUAGUCAUUCCACCUUUACCUUUUCUGAAUGAGGAUGCUACGGAGGACGUUGCAGCUCAGUGCUGUUUCCAAGCACGUAUAGCGAACAGUAUUCCUAAGAUCUCAUGAGCCCGGAUGAAAGGACAAUUUGAACUUUUUCCUCUCAUCUACUGUAUCAGGCAGAAGCUGUCUUUUCGCCUUAGAUUUUCUUACCCGCACAACAGCAGCUCCCUUCAGAGGAUAUGGCAGUGCAGUAUUGAUCCGUGAGGUGGAAGAGAGAAAGGCGGGUUCAGGCUUUCAUACCUCUUUCCCUCACUGUGUGUGUGUGUCUUGGGGUGAAGGGGGGAUUGUACCUGAAGUCCACUUACUGCUGUGCAGAACGGACCCAGUGACAGCACAGGUGAAUGGCUGCUAAUUGAAUGAGAGCUCAACUGAAAAGGACCCUAGUUUGACAGACUUGUUCCUCCUCCACAUAUGCAAAGCCUUUUGAAGCUAAGUUCUUACUCAGCACAGGAAAGUAAAAGCGGAGAAACACCUUCACAUGGCACCCGGAAGUCGCAUCCUCACUAAACUUCCAUUUCUAGAGUUCGUGCUGUACAUGUUUGAGGCCUGGAUUAAGGUUUUUGCCCAAAAAACCUGGAGAUAUUCUCUUCAGAUUGACAUUUAUGAUGCGGUCGGUGAAAGACCACCAUGAGGAUUAACAAUGGGCCCUUUCUCAACAUUGGGCCUUAAAACACAAGACAGCACACAUGCCUCCUUUAGCUAGCUGCACGGUUAGCCUGGUCCAGCUUCCCACCUACAUGAUAAGUUAGCUGCACCGUUUGGGGCAGAUAAUCCGCGUCUUUUCCUUAAGACAUCAGGUAUAAAGGAGCCGCUUCGAAAGCAGCAGCACGAUUGCACCCAAAAAAGAAUGCUGCUAUUUUCAUUGAGGUUUAGAGAUUUUAUGUCACCUCUUUUACCAGUAUCCUCAUGGUUACAAGAUCAACUUCGGCCCUCUUUGAGCCUUCUUUGUCACUGUUUCAGUUCUUUUAACAUUUUCCAUUAUUCCCCUGACUCCAGUCAUGGCCUGUUAACCCAGCUGGUUAUUUUAAUGUAGUUAAUUCCUGCCUUACUUGGCACAUUCUCUUCUCUCUCCCAUUUUCAAGACUGGAAUAAAAUUACUCAGAUCAAAACGAUGAAAAAAUAUUUGGAUUUUUAGAAACAAUGCUUAAGUUAGGUCUAUUUAGUGAAGAAUAUUGGUGCUUUGGAUUUUGUAAAAGGAAAACAAUUUGUUCAUUUCUUUUUUAGGAAAAAUAUUUUCUCUUAAAUUAAAGUUUGACUUUUUCUUUCUUGUUUUUAGUGUGAGAUUAUGCUACUGCAAAAAAACUAAUAUUUCUUCCACAUCAUUAGCAAUAGUUAUAAAAGGGUGCUGUAUAAUAUUUGUGAUUGUGAGAUGAAUACAUUUUUCUUGAACCACAUAUUACUGUUAUAAUAUUCUGGAAUCUUAAAUAAAACUGAUACAAAUGUGAAAUAAAAAGCUGCUGCCUCCUUUGU